rnacentral:rRNA from 1 species
GAUGAACGCUGGCGGCGUGCUUAACACAUGCAAGUCGAACGGAAAGGCUCCUGCUUGCAGGGGUACUCGAGUGGCGAACGGGUGAGUAACACGUGGGUGAUCUGCCCUGCACUUCGGGAUAAGCCUGGGAAACUGGGUCUAAUACCGGAUAGGACCACAUUUUGGAUGGUGUGGUGGAAAGUUUUUCGGUGUGGGAUGAGCUCGCGGCCUAUCAGCUUGUUGGUGGGGUAAUGGCCUACCAAGGCGUCGACGGGUAGCCGGCCUGAGAGGGUGUACGGCCACAUUGGGACUGAGAUACGGCCCAGACUCCUACGGGAGGCAGCAGUGGGGAAUAUUGCACAAUGGGCGCAAGCCUGAUGCAGCGACGCCGCGUGGGGGAUGACGGCCUUCGGGUGGUAAACUCCUUUCGCUAGGGACGAAGCGAAAGUGACGGUACCUGGAGAAGAAGCACCGGCUAACUACGU